GCCCAUUACACGCAUCAUGCAGAGGAAAGCGGAAGUGAAGAGCGUUGGCAUGCGAGGUUGAAAAUGUUUAUCUGCUACGCAGCCACGGUGGCUAACGCAGUUUUGCUCGACGCUAUUGGAACAUUACCCUUCUUGACAGUGGGGGUGUCGUUCGUACAUACGGUAUAAAGCACAAUUUACAUACAUCCAGUUGCCUUUUUUCCGAGAAGUGAUUUCAAAAAUAUAUUUAAUUUUAUGCACAGACACGACUUGUUUUACAUUUUGGUAAUUUGAGCGUACGUACCGUCGAUCGCACGCAGUUCGCACUGCAAUUCACAUUGCAUUUACACCUAAAUCUAUAAUAAAAACUACUAUUAAACCUUCCGAACCUAUGGUUCGCCCUAGUACGUUUGCAGAGAAAGAGAGAGGGCCAGUCCCACUAGCUUUCUGGGAUAAAAGGCCGCUCAGGCUUACGCUUAAAAACCUAAUCCGUAUUUUACUUAGACCCAAGACUAAGCAAACUGCGUCUAUCUACUUCAUAAAGAAAACCUAUAUAGCUUUACCAUGCAAGCUUAAAUCGAGACGAGCGCCGUCACCAACCAUUAUUUUGUAUUUUUUUUAAGAGAGUGCACAAAAUAAUUGCCUAUUCCUAGAACUGUUGCACUUCUGCUGCCAAGCAUAGAAAUAGAACGUUUAUUAGAACUGAGCAUGAGGCACCCAGAAAAACAGCAAUUUAUAAAACUUACCUGAAAGACGAUGAGAAGGUUGAAGCUUGCUCUUCUCGAAA